rnacentral:rRNA from 1 species
UACGUAGGGGGCAAGCGUUGUCCGGAAUCAUUGGGCGUAAAGCGCGUGUAGGCGGUUCGAUAAGUCUGCUGUGAAAGUCCAGGGCUCAACCCUGGGAUGCCGGUGGAUACUGUCGGACUAGAGUACGGAAGAGGCGAGUGGAAUUCCCGGUGUAGCGGUGAAAUGCGCAGAUAUCAGGAGGAACACCAAUUGCGAAGGCAGCUCGCUGGGACGUUACUGACGCUGAGACGCGAAAGCGUGGGGAGCAAACAGG